UCUGGGGGCGCCAAAAUCCCAUUUGGGGACCCCAAAUCCCCCAUAGGGACUGCCAAAGCCCACCUGAAGACCCCCAAAAUGAGUCCGGUGACACCAAAAUCCCCCCACGGGGACCCCAAAAUCCCACCUGGGAACCCCAGAAUGAGUCUGGGGGCCCCAAAAUCCCCCAUGGAGACCCCAAAUUCCCCACAGGGACCCCAAAAUCCCCCCUUGGGGCCCCCCAAGAUGCCACGGGGAGCCCUCACUGCAUCCCAAGGACCCCUUUUUUUGGGGGGUAUAUUAAUGGGAUUUGGGGGGGCUGUCUUAAAAAGGGGUUUAUGAGACUUUAUGGGUCCCCCCUCCCCCCCCCCAAAAAAAAGAAAAGACACUGCUGUGGAAAUGGGCUGAAAUGAGUAAAAAUGAACCGUUUUUUGCUUUAUUUACCCCAAAAUCCCCCCCCACCCCCCCCAACCCCAUAACACAGACAGACAAUGGGGAUUGAAUGGGGGGCGGCACACAUUGGGGUCCCCCCACCCCUAACGAACCCUGCGAGGGGUGGGGGGAAGGGGGGGGGGAGGUAAUAAAAAUGAUAUAAAAUAGCCCAAAAUGACCCCAAAACCCCAAAAACAG
rnacentral:lncRNA from 1 species